CCGCACGCGCGCUACACUGACAGAGGCAGCGAGUAUUAUAUUCCUUAUUCGAAAGAAUUGGGUAAUCUUGUUAAACUCUGUCGUGCUGGGGAUAGAGCAUUGCAAUUAUUGCUCUUCAACGAGGAAUUCUUAGUAAGCGCAAGUCAUCAGCUUGCGUUGAUUACGU
rnacentral:rRNA from 1 species